ACUCAAAUGAAUUGACGGGGACCCGCACAACCAGUGGAGCGUGUGGUUCAAUUUGAGACGAAGCAAAAAACCUCACCAAGGUUUGACAUAUUUAUGAAACUCUGAUGAAAGUCAGAGCCCCUCGCAAGAGGCAUUUUUACAGGUGCUGCAUGGCUGUCGUCAGCUCGUGCCGUGAGGUGUUCCAUUAAGUUGGGAAACGAGUGCAACCCCUAUCUUGUGUUAAAUAUUCACAAGAGACUGCCCCGGUUUUUCCGGGGAGGAAGGAGGGGCGGACGUCAAGUCCGCAUGGCCCUUAUACCUUGGGCUACACACACCCUACAAUGGCGAAAAACAAUGAGUCGCAAGCCGGCAACGGCAAGCAAAUCUCUGAAAUUUCGCCUCAGUUCAGAUCGAGGUCUGAAAUUCGACCUCGUGAAGUCGGAAUUGGUAGUAAUCGCAAAUCAGCAGGUUGCGGUGAAUACGUUCUCGGGUCUUGUACACACCGCCCGU
rnacentral:rRNA from 1 species